AUUCAGGAUCACAAGCCCAGGGGUGACACUGCCUAAAGCUGGGUCUGCCCACAUUUGCCAUCAAUCAUAAAAAUGCAGCACAGGCUUGCCAUAAGUGACUGUUGGAGAUGAUCCUUUUAGGAAAGAAGGACUGAGGUACUAAAUGACUAGAGUUUAAAUGACGCUAGCUCAUAUCAAGUAGUAGACAUAAAACUAGCCAACACAGAAACUAUUUACAAAAUCAUGCUUGAUUUCAUUUUGUAAUGGGCUGAGACUUUAGAUGAUACUGUAAUAGAGUGAAUGACUUUUGCAUAUGUAAUAGAUAUGAAUCAUUAGGGGUCAGAUACAACUGAAUAAUGGCUUCCCACCCCCCCCUCACAAAUAGCUAUAUCCUUUCUCUAAGCUUAUAAAUGUUUCUAUGAAGAAAACUUAAAAGUGAUCAUGCUAAAAGUCUUGCAAUGGGGAGUGUAGUUCUGUUUUGGAGAAAGAGGAAGGAGGCAAGGUCCAGAAAAACUGUGAGAGUGAGGAAGGAGUAGGGAGAAAUGUGAACCCAUUUAACUCCAGGAGAUCCUAAGAUGCUGACAAUUGAAUUCAUCCCCAAAAAUUGAGUGCAGGAUUCUGAACCUUAGAACUACAAGAUCAUAAACAUGGUAUUAUGUGGUAAUUGGUACAAUACCUAGAAAACAAUUUCGUUUUCAUAAGUGAUCUCAUGAUGAUGAACUCUAAUACUGAUAGUCUCUUCUUGAAAUAUUAGAACAAUGCAAAAUAAUACUAUGUAAUAGAGUUCAGAGUUAGAAACAGGAAGUCCAGGAGUACCUAAUGUACACAUUUCUCAUUACAGAUGUUUCCGUUACAAUUGGACAAGGUUAUUAAUUAUAGUAAAGAAAGAAAG
rnacentral:lncRNA from 1 species